rnacentral:tRNA from 1 species
GGCCUUGUAGUCUAGAGGUACGAUACUUGCUUUGGGUAGUUCACAAUUGCAAGUGGCCUGGGUUCGAUUCCCAGCAAGGCCC